rnacentral:rRNA from 1 species
UACGGAGGGUGCAAGCAUUGAUCGGAAUUAUUGGGCGUAAAGGGCGCGUAGGCGGCGAGAUAAGUCAGAUGUGAAAUUCCGGGGCUCAACCCCGGAGCUGCAUUUGAAACUCUCUUGCUAGAGUGUAGUUAGGGAAAACGGAAUUCCACGUGUAGCGGUGAAAUGCGUAGAUAUGUGGAAGAACACCGGUGGUGAAGACGGUUUUCUGGGCUAAAACUGACGCUGAGGCGCGAAAGCUAGGGGAGCAAACAGG